AGAGUUUGAUCCUGGCUCGGGAUGAACGCUGGCGGCGUGCCUAAUACAUGCAAGUCGAACGGAGCUAGUAAUAGUUUAGUGGCGACCGGGUGCGUAACACGUAGCUCACCUGCCCUAGAACGGGGGAUAACCUGCCGAAAGGCGGGCUAAUACCGCAUAAUCUUGCUAGACGUAAACUACAGCAAGGAAACUUACGGGGUUCAAGGAGGGGGCUGCGGCCCAUCAGGUAGUUGGUGGAGUAAUGGUUCACCAAGCCAAUGACGGGUACGGGGCCUGAGAGGGUGACCCCCCACACUGGAACUGACAAACGGUCCAGACUCCUACGGGAGGCAGCAGUAAGGGAUAUUGGGCAAUGGACGAAAGUCUGACCCAGCAACGCCGCGUUGAGGAUGACGGCCUUCGGGUUGUAAACUCAUUUUCUCACUGACGAGGAAGGACGGUAGGUGAGGAAUAAGUCACGGCUAACUACGUGCCAGCAGCCGCGGUAAAACGUAGGUGGCAAGCGUUAUCCGGAUUUACUGGGCGUAAAGCGUGUGCAGGCGGUUGUGUAAGUGGUGUAUGAAAUCGCCGCGCUUAACGUGGCGGGGUUAUGCCAGACUGCACAACUUGAACCCAUCAGAGGGACGUGGAAUUCCGGGUGUAGUGGUGAAAUGCGUAGAGAUCCGGAGGAACACCAGAGGCGAAAGCGGCGUCCUGGGGUGAGGUUGACGCUCAGACACGAAAGCAUGGGGAGCGAACGGGAUUAGAAACCCCGGUAGUCCAUGCCGUAAACGAUGUAGACUAGGCGCUGGACGGCUCAACCCGGUCAGUGCCGCAGCAAACGCGAUAAGUCUACCGCCUGGGGACUACGGCCGCAAGGCUAAAACUCAAAGGAAUUGACGGGGGCCCGCACAAGCAGCGGAGCGUGUGGUUUAAUUCGAGUCUACACGAAGAACCUUACCUGGGUUUGACAUACAGCUGGUAGGGACCUGAAAGGGAACCGACCGCAAGGAGGCUGUACAGGUGCUGCAUGGCUGUCGUCAGCUCGUGCCGUGAGGUGUUAGGUUAAGUCCUGUAACGAGCGCAACCCUCGGCAGUAGUUACACGUAGUCUACUGCAACUGCCCGUGACAAGCGGGAGGAAGGUGGGGAUGACGUCAAGUCAGCAUGGCCUUUAUAUCCAGGGCUACACACACGCUACAAUGGCCGGUACAAUGGGUCGCCAAGCCGCAAGGCGGAGCCAAUCCACCAAAGCCGGUCUCAGUUCGGAUUGAGGGCUGCAACCCGCCCUCAUGAAGUCGGAGUUGCUAGUAACCGCCGGUCAGCCAUACGGCGGUGAAUACGUUCCCGGGCCUUGUACACACCGCCCGUCACAUCAUGGGAGCUGGUCACGCCUGAAGCCAGUGGGCUAACCGCAAGGGGGCAACUGUCCAAGGCAGGGCCGGUGACUGGGACGAAGUCGUAACAAGGUA
rnacentral:rRNA from 1 species